AUUGAACGCUGGCGGCAUGCCUUACACAUGCAAGUCGAACGGCAGCACGGGAGCAAUCCUGGUGGCGAGUGGCGAACGGGUGAGUAAAGUAUCGGAACGUGCCCAGUCGUGGGGGAUAACGUAGCGAAAGUUACACUAAUACCGCAUACGAUCUAUGGAUGAAAGCGAGGGAUCGCAAGACCUCGCGCGAUUGGAGCGGCCGAUAUCAGAUUAGGUAGUUGGGGGGGUAAAGGCGCACCAAGCCGACGAUCUGUAGCUGGUCUGAGAGGACGACAAGCCACACUGGGACUGGGACACGGCCCAGACUCCUACGGGAGGCAGCAGUGGGGAAUUUUGGACAAUGGGCGAAAGCCUGAUCCAGCCAUGCCGCGUGCAGGAUGAAGGCCUUCGGGUUGUAAACUGCUUUUGUACGGAACGAAAAGGUUUGGCCUAAUAAGCUGAGCUCAUGACGGUACCGUAAGAAUAAGCACCGGCUAACUACGUGCCAGCCGCCGCCGUAA
rnacentral:rRNA from 1 species